AUGACAAUGCUUUCGAUAGUCUGUACUAAAUUACUUUGUACGAAUGCACAUCUCGGCCGUCGGGUAGCUGAUCACCAUUUCAAAGUCUAUAUCCGUGGUUCGAGAAAUGGAAUUGCUAUUCUCGAUUCAGACAAGACACUGAUUUGCUGUUCCUUAUUUUUAAAGACCAAUCAUUUAUUUAUUUAUGAAAUAACGGAAGAAAUGGCGAGCUAUUUAAGAAGCUAUUUAAGAAAUGUGAAUUCUCAUUGUUUCGAUGAUUCUCAAUGGAAGAUCGGGGCGUUUUUGACCAAUUCUUUGCAAAUAAAAAAAAUCCGUUCAAGAAAGAAGAAGAUCAAUUUUGGGUUGAACCAACAACCUGAUUGUGUGGUUAUUCUGAAUGCAGAUAGAAAGUCUUCGGUCAUACUGGAAGCUGAUCGAUCACAAAUACCUAUUCCAUCCUUAGUUGAUUCUACGAUCCCAUGGGAAUCCUAUAAAAGAAUCACUUAUCCCAUCCCAGCGAAUGAUCCUAUACAGUUCGUAUAUCUAUUUCGUCAUUCGAUCAUGAAAACAGUGAUUCUUGAACAGAAUGCGAUUAGUAGAGAAGCGCAAUCUCUCAGAGUCACUUUGAGUACGGGGAAGUCCGCAGGAGGGAUGAGAUCCGCCUGCUACUCCACCUCUUCUUCUUCCCCAAUAGACGAAGAAGAAAAUAGGGCCAAGGCGCUAUUGGAGAUGCGCAAAAAAUAUCCAUCGGGAGAUGGCGCUGACGCUGACGCUAACGCUCGCAAGGCGGUUUUGCAGGCAAUUUCUAAAAAUACUUUUUUUUCGUUGAGCUCAUAA
rnacentral:rRNA from 1 species